rnacentral:rRNA from 1 species
GACGAACGCUGGCGGCGUGCUUAACACAUGCAAGUCGAGCGGUAAGGCCCUUCGGGGUACGACGAGCGGCGAACGGGUGGAGUAACAACGUGGGUGGACCUGCCCUCCAGCUCUGGGAGUAAAGCCUGGGAAACCGGGUCCUAAUAACCGGAUAUGACUCCAUGACGCAUGUUGUGGGGUGGAAAGCCUUGUGCGGCUGGGGAUGGCCCGCGGCCUAUCAGCUUGUUGGUGGGGUGAUGGCCUACCAAGGCGA